UACGGAGGAUCCAAGCGUUAUCCGGAAUUACUGGGCGUAAAGAGUUGCGUAGGUGGCAGAGUAAGUUGUUAGUGAAAGCCUGGGGCUCAACCCCUUACACAUUGACAAAACUGCUCAGCUUGAGGACGAGAGAGGUCACUGGAAUUCCUAGUGUAGGAGUGAAAUCCGUAGAUAUUAGGAGGAACACCGAUGGCGUAGGCAGGUGACUGGCUCGUUCCUGACACUAAGGCACGAAAGCGUGGGGAGCAAACGGG
rnacentral:rRNA from 1 species